rnacentral:tRNA from 2 species
GGCUUUAUAGUUGAAAUAACAACAUUAAAUUGCAGAUUUAGAGGUAUAUUUAUUAUUAAGGCUU